rnacentral:rRNA from 1 species
AUUGAACGCUGGCGGCAGGCCUAACACAUGCAAGUCGAGCGAGCGGCGGACGGGUGAGUAAUGUCUGGGAAACUGCCUGAUGGAGGGGGAUAACUACUGGAAACGGUAGCUAAUACCGCAUACCAUCCGAUUUGCCCAGAUGGGAUUAGCUAGUAGGUGGGGUAAUGGCUCACCUAGGCGACGAUCCCUAGCUGGUCUGAGGGAAUGACCAGCAACAAGGAAACUGAGAAACGGUCCGAAGUCCUACGUGAGGAAGCAGUGGGGAAUAUUGCACAAUGGGCGCAAGCCUGAUGCAGCCAUGCCGCGGGUGUGAAGAAGGCCUUCGGGUUGGAAAGCACUUUCAGCGGGGAGGCGUUACCCGCAGAAGAAGCACCGGCUAACUCCGUGCCAGCAGCCGCGGUAAUAC